CCCUGGUUAGCUCAGUUGGUAGAGCGCUCCACUUGUACUGGAGAGGUCCCGGGUUCGAUACCCGGAUUAGGCG
rfam:Ixodes scapularis strain Wikel colony gcontig_1108378522370, whole genome shotgun sequence.